ensembl:lncRNA
UGGAAACCAAGUUCACUUUCUCCUUGGCAGUGCUCGGGGUGUGGGGAGGAGAGCAGUGCUUGCGCUAUGGGGCUGGGUCUCCUCUUCCUCACCGUGCUGGCCAUGCUGGUCUCCUGUGAGCACCCAGAAGGAGACCUGGAUACCUACUGGUCCGGCACUGCACCCAUCUGCAUGGGGGGCUGCAAGGGGAAGCAUAAGGAGCUGAAGAGGAGCCAGUGUGGGAAUGGCAGCUGCUGCUGGCUGGGCUACAAGUCCUUCUGCCGAGGGAUCUGCCUGCGAGGCCGGAUCGAGAUCAGCGAGCGGGACAUCAGCGGGAGGUGCUCGUCGUCCUGCAGCACCCAGAGCCACCUGGGAGCCUCCCUGCACCGCGGCUGCAUCAAGAUCUCCUCCUGCAGCACCAAACGCUCG